rnacentral:misc_RNA from 1 species
CCUUCUUCUAUUUCUUUUUGCAAUGGUUGCCUACUAUUAUAACUCUAACUCUUCAUCUGGGUACGGUUAUUUUAACACGUUGGAUCCAUUUCCGAGUAGUUUAGAAGGUUUUAAUGGUUUGCGAGGUGGGUCGAUGGUCUCGCAGUCUUUGGUGUUGGAUAAUGAGAAAGGAGAACUCGUAAAAGCACCGGCUACGAGAGUCGGAAAGAAAGGGA